UAUUCAUACUUGCUUUGGCUAAAGACUUUUUGAACUCAAUCUCACAAAUCGUAUAGGACUUCUCCUUUUCUAUCAAAAUUGAUAGAUUCUAUCUAGGUGCAUGCUACUCUAAAUAGCGAAUCUGAACCUACUGUACUUAACAUAUAUAGUAAGAAUCUGAAUGGCUAGAGAUAAAGAGAACGUGCAGUCAAACUCAGUAGCCUCAUUGCGAAAAGCUGAUGAUACCAUAGAUCAAAGGACCACUCACACCACUGC
rnacentral:lncRNA from 1 species